CGACGAGGUAGAUAGGUCCGAGGUGGAAGUGCAGUAAUGUAUGGAGCUGACGGAUACUAAUAGGUCGAAGGCUUGACCUU
rnacentral:ncRNA from 1 species